UACGUAGGGUGCAAGCGUUGUCCGGAAUUAUUGGGCGUAAAGAGCUCGUAGGCGGUUUGUCGCGUCGAAUGUGAAAACCCGGGGCUCAACCCCGGGCCUGCAUUCGAUACGGGCAGACUAGAGUUCGGUAGGGGAGUCUGGAAUUCCUGGUGUAGCGGUGAAAAUGCGCAGAUAUCAGGAGGAACACCGGUGGCGAAGGCGGGACUCUGGGCCGAUACUGACGCUGAGGAGCGAAAGCGUGGGGAGCAAACAGG
rnacentral:rRNA from 1 species